rnacentral:rRNA from 1 species
UACGGAGGAUGCGAGCGUUAUCCGGAUUCAUUGGGUUUAGAGGGUGCGUAGGUGGUUGAUUAAGUCAGUGGUGAAAGUUUGUCGCUCAACGAUAAAACUGCCAUUGAAACUGGUUAGCUUGAGUAUGUUUGAGGUAGGCGGAAUGCGUAGUGUAGCGGUGAAAUGCAUAGAUAUUACGCAGAACUCCAAUUGCGAAGGCAGCUUACUAAACCAUAACUGACACUGAAGCACGAAAGCGUGGGUAUCAAAC